rnacentral:rRNA from 1 species
UACGUAGGGGGCAAGCGUUGUCCGGAAUUAUUGGGCGUAAAGAGCGUGUAGGCGGCCAGAUAAGUCCGCUGUGAAAUCUCGAGGCUCAACUUCGAGCUGUCGGUGGAAACUGUCUGGCUAGAGUCCGGAAGAGGAGAAUGGAAUUCCUGGUGUAGCGGUGAAAUGCGCAGAUAUCAGGAAGAACACCAAUGGCGAAGGCAGCUCGCUGGGACGUGACUGACGCUGAGGAGCGAAAGCGUGGGUAGCAAACAGG